CAGAUGGACUGAAGAAAAUCCAACAGUUCACAUUCGAUUUGACUUCAGUGGAGACCAAUAUGUAGCAGGGGAGAUUUGCGUUUUUGGCAAAGAGGAGGGAAGGAACUAACAUGAUGGCUUAGAUCAGUUACUGAUGAACUAACAUGAUGUGGCCAAAUACACACGAGUCUAAACAAGACAUGGGUCUGCUUUCCUCUUAAGCAGAUAUGAUCAUCAAGCUAUUUCCAGCGACAGCAGUGGAGCCUGGGGAGAGGAGAUGAACUUGUGCCUGGGGUGAGGACAGCCUGGGAUGAGGAGAGCCUGGGCAGCAGCCGAGCCCAGCUCCAGCUCACCUCAACCUGGGUGGACUUGGAGAGAAGGAGUCCCUGGAGAUGGAGAGGAGUCCCUGGGCGUGGAGAGGAGGAGCGCCUGGGCGCCUGCGUUGGUCUGGAUGCAGGUGGAGCUGUGGCGCCUGGAGCUCUGGGGUGGAGCAUUGGCGAGGGAGCUCCGGACCGCGGCGA